rnacentral:misc_RNA from 1 species
GAUGAAGAACGCAGCGAAAUGCGAUAAGUAAUGUGAAUUGCAGAAUUCAGUGAAUCAUCGAAUCUUUGAACGCACCUUGCGCCCUUUGGCUAUUCCGAAGGGCAUGCCUGUUUGAGUAUCGUGAACACCUCAACUCUCAUGGUUUGCCAUGAUGAGCUUGGACUUUGGGGGUUUUGCUGGCCUUUGGUCGGCUCCUCUCAAACGGAUCAGCUUUCCGGUGUUUGGUGGCGUCACGGGUGUGAUAACUAUCUACGCCUGUGGUUUUCUGCCAGAUAACCUUCAGCGAUGGAGGUUCGCUGGGGCUCAUAAAUGUCUCUCUUCAGUGGAGACAGCUUUUUGGACGUUUGAUCUCAAAUCAGGUAGGACUACCCGCUGAACUUAAGCAUAUCAAUAAGCGGAGGA